UAAUAUAGAAAUGCUAGAAUGCAUGAUGAUGUAAUGUAAAUGAUGCUAGCUAAAAGCAUGAGAUAAAUGAUAUUUGCAUGUUAACAUAAAGUAGAGAACAUGCUAGUUGUAAAGUAUAAUGAUAAUUUGUAAAGAAUGCUAAAUAAAUGUAUGAAUGAUUUGGUAUAGAAAUGCUAGAAUAUAUGCAUUGGUUAAUGUUAGUUGGAUGUAUGU
rnacentral:lncRNA from 1 species